rnacentral:tRNA from 3 species
UGGGCUAUCGCCAAGGGGUAAGGCACAGCACUUUGACUGCUGCAUUCGCCAGUUCGAAUCUGGCUAGCCCAG